GACGAACGCUGGCGGCGUGCCUAAUACAUGCAAGUCGAACGCAGUGGGGACGGGUGAGUAACACGUGGGUAACCUCCCAUCAGAGGGGAUAACACUUGGAAACAGGUGCUAAACUGAUACUGAUGGAUGGACCCGCGGUGCAUUAGCUCGUUGGUGAGGUAACGGCUCACCAAGGCGAGACUGCAUCGACUACCUGAAAGGGUAAUCGGCAACACUGGGACUGAGGAUCGGCCCAGACUACUACGGUAGGCAGCGAUAGGGAAUCUUCGGCAAUGGACGAAAGUCUAACCGAGCAACGCCACGUGGGUGAAGAAGGUUUUGGGAUCGUAAAACUCUGUUGUUAGAGAAGCGGUAUCUAACCAGAAAGCCACGGCUAACUACGUGCCAGCCGCCGCGGUAAUAC
rnacentral:rRNA from 1 species